rnacentral:miRNA from 1 species
UCGAUGCGAUCCCUUGGGA